CUCUGUGGUGAUAGGACAAGGGGAAAUGGUUUCAAACUGAAAGAGAGUAGCUACAGGUUGGAUAGAAGGAAAAAGUCUCCUACAGUGAAGGUGGUGAGUCACUGGAACAGGUUGCCCAGAGAUGUGAUGAAAGUCCUGUCCUUGGAAGCAUUCAAGACCAGGCUGGACAGGGCACUGAGCAACCUGAUCUAGCUGUGGGUGUCCCUGUUCAUUGCGGAUGAGGCUGAAGAUAAGGACACAACAUUGAAAAACUGAGAAACAGCUCGUUAGGAAAUAACUACCCAAAACACCAGAAGAGGCCAAAGAAAGACUUGAUUUCCACUCAGCUCCAGGAUGCCAACUCCUGAAUCUGACAAUAAUACCAUCUAACGAAGGGCUAAAGACCAAGCCAUACAAGCACGCUGUGUACAAAGCUGCCCAUGGCUGAAGAAAGAUCAUUGAUUCACUACAUCUCAUUUGGGAAUUUCCCUCAUCUUCCGUAUCUUUCUAAAAGACUCAUAAUCAAGCUGAAGGGUAAUCUGUUCUUCUGGAGUAGUUUUUUUGACAGUAUCUCCCAUUAUAACUAUACUUCAUUUGAAACACUACAACAUUAACUGGAAAGAGGAACAGAAUAGGACUCAUCAUGGUGAAUUACCUAGAGUAAAAUCCAGUUGCUCCCUAGCACGUUAAACAUGGGAUUCUUGUAUACAUUACAGAACUGACACAGAUGAAGCAACAGAAACUGAAAGUUCAAAUACUGAAACGUUUCUGGAUGCAUAUUAGAUACCUUUGAGCAGAAAUAUAUGUAUCUGGCAAAUUUUGCUAGCAGAAAUCUCUGUAGCUUCCUCACUUUUAGCAGAACAGCACUGUGAACAUUAGUGGUACCUAACAAAAGUCCUUCUUGUGAAGCAAACCCUGGAUGCUGCAGGUUUAAACCAGUGAGAAGUUUAGCACAUGAAUGAUGCAGAAGUGUUGAUUGGUAUAUGUCAACACAGAGUCAUAGACAAAGUGUUGAUGUAAGUGCUUGUCAUCUAGAACGCUGAAUUUCAAUGCAAGUGUGGCAGUGAGACUGAUGGACCCCCAAUACUGACAGGAUAUGGCAACUGGGUAGAUUAUGCUCAUCUCAAACUUACAGAAGCAAUCCCUUCACUAUUUUUCCUAUGCAUAUUAGCCUUAUGUAGAUUUGAAACCAACACAACUUCACAACCUUCUGAUGUUUCUCUUCAGAAAAACAAACAAACGAAGAAAGCAGGGACAGAAGCAACAGCAGUACUGGUACUAAGCAGUGGAGUGUAGUGGUCAGAUCAAAUAUUCUGAAAAUUAUGUAGCAUGUCAUCUUGACAAUAGCCUUGACUUAACCAGAAACUAUUUUUUGUAAUUAGUAUACUCAGACGUUUUCUUUAUAUUCAGAAUCCAACUGUUCUAACGUUCUGAAAAACAGAACAAAAAGAAAAACAAGCCUUUAAACCAGUCUGACAACUGCAAUUAAAUCAAUCAUCCACUCAAAUUCAGGUAUUUGUAACAUCAGGUAAUUUAACAAACAUCUUUCAACCAUAACAGCUCAAGGCACAUUUGUUUUAAAAGCACUUUAAUAGAAAAUUUCAGUAUACCUCCCCCACUAAGAUCGUUCUGUAAAGAAUGCACUUCUAACUAUAGAGGAUCAAAAGGACUGAAUAGUCACUUUAUAAUUUUCAACAUUUAUUAUAACUUCUUAGGGAACUAUGCCUAGUUGUGAACAAAUCAAAAAUUGCUUCUGGAGGGAAAAUAUUUAAUGAAAAGAAGAUUAUUAUCGUAUUUUAACAUAAAGAUAAAUUUAAUACAACUAAUGGCUACCAUUCCUAUUAUAUUCUUGUAUGUUACCAUCAGACUUUUAAAUGAGAAGAGGUGCUUGAGUUCCAUCUGUGACAAAGCACAGAAACAGCAAAAGAGCUAGAAUAUUCAAUUGCUUACAGUUUGCAGUUUCAUUAUACCAUGGAGAUCAUGAAGAACUGAAACCCAGACUUAUAAGCCCAAUAGAGGAAAGCGCUCAUGGGAAACUGAUUGAAAGUAUUUUGAGGUAAGAAAGAUUAAGGCUUUUUUAUGCUUUUCCUAGCUUUGUGCCUGGGGACAAUAUACUCUAGAACAUCUGUAAAGUUUACUGGAAUUUUUGCUGAUAUACCUAAUGUUGACCUCAUUAUCCACAUUCUCUAUAUAAUUAUGAUGAAUGAUUUUCAGUUUAGUAGACCUAGCAAUUUACUUGUUCUUACUUUACUAAGCAACCCCAUUUUUCUCCUCCCUACGAAGAAUAUAAUCCAGCGCUGCAGUCAAAGGUAGGAUUCAAAUCUUAACCAAGGGAGGAGAUGCAUAGACUAUACAUUUAAUCAUUGAGAUUUAAUAAUUGCAGAUUGAUGAAUAAUCUGUUAAAGUAAAAGCACUGUAUGGGCUCCAUUCCUGCACACACUGAUACCUUUAGCAGGCUCUGACUGCCUCGCUAUUGCAAGAGCUGAAGGGCUAUUCAGCUGAGUAGUGCCCACACAUUAGGUCUGAUGAAAGAUAGACUGAAGCCAUUACAUUCAGAUCUGAUGAUGAGAGUGAAUCACAUAAAUUGACAGCAUGGUCUAACUUUUUAUCAAUAUCUGAUCAAUAUUAUUGUUCAGACAAUAAAAGGCAAGCACUUCUUUUCUUGACAGGAAUAAAUAGGUGCUUACUGUUUCAUACAGAAAAGGGAUUUUACACAUACAACCUAAAGGUCUACCGUUCCUAUCAAUGUAAGACUUCUAUAUUCUGUGGGAGAACACACAGUGGGCCAGAGGUGUAAAAAGUCACAUAUAACAGUAUAGUAUCAGAUCUCCAGCUUUGGAAUAACUGAGCAAAUUUUUAGAGUUUUGAAGAAGACAGAUACACACAUUAUUCUUAGAAGAAGCUGAUGAAUCACUAGCAAGUAUUUACUAACCAAUGUUAAACACCAUUAUUUCAGGUUCCUUGAUACAUUCUUAAUACAGUAUUUCUAUAAAUCAGUUUUUGUAUGAGAAUCUGUUGAGGGUAGCAGUUGCUAAAAAUACAAAGUACAUGUAAAUCACCCAAAACAACGAGAUUUACUUGCUGAAAAAAAGAGAUUUCUGAAAUAAGUAGUAUGAUAUGUGGAGGCUGAAUCACUCCCAGUGGUGCCAUCUUUUUCUCUGCUGACUUUUCUGGAGAUAGGAAAGCUAAAUUGCCAAAAUAUGAAUUUAAUCCCAUCUAUAAAACAAACAGUUUUUCAUUCCCUGUGCAGCACUAGCCUAUAUGUACUUCCUAUUUUUAUAACACCGCAAAUAUCUAUGUCAUGUUGUGCCUGAAAUACAAUUGUUUUCGAAUGAGCAGACAAACAGAAGAAACAAGAUUCAGAAAAAAAAAACCUUACCCGAAACAUUUUGAGGAAGCUAAUGUUUUUUUUUUUUUUUCUUUCUAACAAUAAAGUUCCAAUUUUAUCAAUAUUAAAUAAGUUCACAAAAUUCUUCUGACUGGAGCAUCACCCUUUUGGCAGAAAAGAUAAUGCCUACAUAUCUCACAGAACACUGGUGAAAUUGCAUUGAGGGAAGGAAUUCAUAUUUAGGAAAGGAACUGAGUAAGAACUGUGAAUUCAAUUAAAAUAUUGUUGUAAUAUGGAGAAGACUGCUUAUAAAGACUGAAAUAAAGAUUUCUCUAAAAAUUUUAAACACUUUUCCCAUUUUAUAACUAAGUCAUGACUGCAUCAGAAAGUAGUGCAUUUGCCAGCAGUCUUGGUGCAUCAGCUUGAAUAUUGUGUUGCCUUGAACAGGGCCAUGUGACCUCACUGCAAACCAGGCUGCAGUCACUGCAGUGUGUCUUUAUUCCUGGGAUACUCAGCACUGCAUUUUGCAAUAAUGUGUAGUGAUUUAAGAAAUAUUUUAUAGAACAAUAUGCUAUAGAAUACUAGAAUUGGGCAAAUAAAUUUUUAUUUUUUCCACCUUAUGUUACAGCAUAAAAACAUAUUUCUUUAAUGUAGUUUACUUCAGUAACCUAAAAUAAUCUUGAAUAACUAAUCCAGUUUCAUUAACCAGUGUUAGAAAAAGAGAACACUAUUUUUCCUCAUCUGCUGAAUCAGGGGUCUGAUUUGUACUGUAAAUAUUCAGAGACAAAAAGCACUAGAAUUCCUGGAGUCUUCCACUGCCAAUGGAUAUGAUCGUUUCAAGAGACAGCUAUGGGAUGGCAUGUAGUUUACAGCAAGUUUACUCUAGGUCUUUGGAACACAGGCAUGAAGAUCGUUGUUCCUUUAUAGGUAGCAGUCAGGAUGUGAAAGCUUGCCAGCUUGGUCUGGAAAUUACUUUGUGGCUAGAACUGGACACUUAUUUUCUAGUGCACAAGAUCUUGAAGAGUUUCCAGCUGCACAAGACUGUAUUUAUUGCACUACGUAGGAAAUAAUAAAAAGUUUUGAAGUAGUCUGAGUAGGAAUGGUGCUGACAUUCAUAUUCUGUUUUUAUCUAUGUAUGUCAAUAUUGUAAAGAACUUUUCUUCCAAACUAUAGAAGAUUUAGCAGGUAAAUAAGUAUAUUUAUCCAAUAAAGUCUAUGAUGGUAAUUAACUGCUCAGACUCUCUUAAUGAAGCUGUUUAUUUUAAAGGACUCAAAAAUUCAGAUAUUCCCCUUUGUAUGAAAAUGAGAACAGCACAACAGCAAGGACUUGAACCUGAGUUUUUUCACCUCAGGCAAGUUUCCUGCUGAACCCUUGUUUUCUCUUUGGUGGAUAGUGGUUACAUAGCGUAAACAGUUAGAAAAUUAAGAAAUGAAAAAUGUAUCUGAAUGGCCUCAUAUCACUUUACAUACUCUGUAACAAAUACCAUCACUUUCUUGAUAACCAAGUUGUUCAGUGUUUAACGAUCUUAAUAGAUGUAGGAACCCAGUAUUCAUAUGUUUUCUUUGUCUGUCUUGGAGUAUGGGAUAAAAUUCAGGUCUUCUGCUCUCCACUGAGUAGUGUUCAAGGAGUACAUGAAAUUCUGAAGCUAUAACACGCUACAUAAAACUGUUUGUUAAGCUAGAAAUCUCCAGUCAUUAAAAAUAUCUGUGAAUCUUCCUGAAGAAGCAGGGCAUGUGAGUCCUACUCUCUACUCCGUGGGCCAUACAGAGCCAUACAGGGAACAUAAAUCCUAUGUCUGAAGAAAGUAAACUCUUUACUUACAUUAACUUUUGAAUUAAAAAACUUAGAACACAACAAAACUACUUGUUUCUCAACAAGUCGAAUAAACCAUUUUUUUCAACCAAACAUUUGUAACAAUUUUCUAAAAAUGCCUUAAAAAUCAAUUUCAUUUG
rnacentral:lncRNA from 1 species